rnacentral:rRNA from 1 species
CCGUACCAAAACCGACACAGGUAGGAAGGUAGAGUAUACCAAGGCGCGCGAGAGAAAGGUUGUUAAGGAACUCGGCAAAUUAACCCCGUAUCUUCGGAAGAAGGGGUCCUGCUGGAGGCUAAGAACUAGCUUCUGAUGUUUCUAGCAGGCGCAGUGAAGAGGCGAAGGCGACUGUUUAUCAAAAACAUAGCACUAUGCAAACUCGCAAGAGGAAGUAUAUGGUGUGACACGUGACCAAUGCCAAAAGGUUAAGGCAAGGGGUUAGCAUUAGCGAAGCUCUAAACCGAAGCCCUGGUGAAUGUCGGCCGUAACUAUAACGGUCCUAAGGUAGCGAAAUUCCUUGUCGGGUAAGUUCCGACCUGCACGAAUCGUGUAACGAUCUUCGCACUGUCUCAACAACCAUCUCGGUGAAGUUGUAGUUCCGGUGAAAAUGCCGGAUAACCGAUGCAGGACGGAAAGACCCCGUGAACCUUUACUAUGACCUGACAUUGGAAUUUGAUGUAUCAUAUGUAGUAUAGCUGGGAGACUUUGAAACAUCUUCGUCAGGAGGUGUGGAGUCAUUAGUGAAAUACCAGUUUUGGUUUAUUGAAUUUCUAACUACGAUCCCUUGAAUCAGGGCGUGGAACAGUGUCUGGGAGUUAGUUUGACUGGGGCGGUUUCCUCCUAAAGAGUAACGGAGGAGCACAAAGGUACCCUCAGCACGGUCAGCAAUCGUGCGAAGAGCGUAUAGGUAUAAGGGUGCUUAACUGCGAGACCAACAAGUCGAGCAGGUGCGAAAGCAGGUCUAAGUGAUCCGGUGGUUGCUAGUGGUAGCGCCAUCGCUUAACGGAUAAAAGGUACUCCGGGGAUAACAGGCUGAUGAUUGCCAAGAGUCCAUAUCGACGCAAUCGUUUGGCACCUCGAUGUCGGCUCAUCGCAUCCUGGGGCUGGAGAAGGUCCCAAGGGUUGGGCUGUUCGCCCAUUAAAGCGGUACGCGAGCUGGGUUCAGAACGUCGUGAGACAGUUUGGUCCUUAUCCGCAUUGGUCGUAGGAAAUUUGAAGAGAUUAGCCCUUAGUACGAGAGGACCAGGGUUAACGUGCCUCUGGUGUUCCAGUUGUCGUGCCAACGGCAUAGCUGGGUAGCUACGCACGGAAAGGAUAAGCGCUGAAAGCAUCUAAGUGCCAAGCCUUCUCUAAGAUAAGAUUUCCCUUGCUCUUCGGAGCACUCAAGGCUCGUUCAAGACUAGGACGUUGAUAGGCUGGACGUGUAAGUACAGUGAUGUAUUAAGCAAACCAGUACUAAUUAGCCGUGAGGCUUGAUCUU